rnacentral:rRNA from 1 species
GGGUCACGAUCGCCAUGCAUGCUCUGAUAUGAGGAAGCAAUUCUCUCUGAAUCUGCGAACGGCUCCGCAAACCAGUUGUAAACCAUAGCAAGCUUGCACGGGUCGGGUUCCAACCUGGCCCGGGCGAUACGGAUAACCCUGGUAAUUCUGAGGCUAAUACGUGUAUGUAAAACCUGGUGGACCGGUGAAAACUGGUAAACUGGGGGACGAGUGAUUGAUUGCUUGGGUUAACCGGGAAUGGGCGCUCGCCUUGACCGCGCUACAAAGGAGGCUCCUCACGGGGACUCCCAGCGGCUCUUGCGCGGUGCUUCUGACCUAUCAACUAGAUGGCAGCGUAAGGGACAUGCUAUGGUGACAACGGGUACAGAGUUU